UUUUACGGCACUCUACCCACUUCCCAAGAGUGCCAAUCGGGCAGCGACACUCCUCCUCCAAGUCGCUGCUCACCAAUCAAAGCCUGCCGCACCCUCCCGCGGCAGGCUUUUUUG
rnacentral:sRNA from 1 species